GACGAACGCUGGCGGCGUGCUUAACACAUGCAAGUCGAACGGAAAGGCCCUGCUUUUGUGGGGUUCUCGAGUGGCGAACGGGGGAGUAACACGCGAGUAUCCUGCCCUUGACUUUGGGAUAACUUCAGGAAACUGGGGCUAAUACCGGAUAGGAUCUCCUGCUGCAUGGUGGGGGUUGGAAAGUUUCGGCGGUUGUGGAUGGACUCGCGGCUUAUCAGCUUGUUGGUGGGGUAGUGGCUUACCAAGGCUUUGACGGGUAGCCGGCCUGAGAGGGUGACCGGCCACAUUGGGACUGAGAUACGGACCAGACUCCUACGGGAGGCAGCAGUGGGGAAUAUUGCACAAUGGGCGGAAGCCUGAUGCAGAAGCGCCGCGUGCGGGAUGACGGCCUUCGGGGUGUAAACAGCUUUCGCCUGUGACGAAGCGUGAGUGACGGUAAUGGGUAAAGAAGCACCGGCUAACUACGUG
rnacentral:rRNA from 1 species